GUGAUUGCUUCAGCAGCACAUAUAUUAAAAAUUGGAAUGAUACAGAGAGGAUAGCAUGGCCCCUGCACAAGGAUGACAUAUGAAGCAGUCCAUAUUAAA
rnacentral:snRNA from 2 species